AGUGAACGCUGGCGGUAGGCCUAACACAUGCAAGUCGAACGGCAGCACAGUAAGAGCUUGCUCUUACGGGUGGCGAGUGGCGGACGGGUGAGGAAUACAUCGGAAUCUACUUUUUCGUGGGGGAUAACGUAGGGAAACUUACGCUAAUACCGCAUACGACCUACGGGUGAAAGCAGGGGAUCUUCGGACCUUGCGCGAUUGAAUGAGCCGAUGUCGGAUUAGCUAGUUGGCGGGGUAAAGGCCCACCAAGGCGACGAUCCGUAGCUGGUCUGAGAGGAUGAUCAGCCACACUGGAGCUGAGAGACGGUCCAGACUCCGACGGGAGGCAGCAGUGGGGAAUAUUGGACAAUGGGCGCAAGCCUGAUCCAGCCAUACUGCGUGGGUGAAGAAGGCCUUCGGGUUGUAAAGCCCUUUUGUGGGGAAAGAAAAGCAGCAGGUUAAUACCCCGCUGUUCUGACGGGACCCAAAGAAUAAGCACCGGCUAACUUCGU
rnacentral:rRNA from 1 species